rnacentral:rRNA from 1 species
CCUGAUGCAGCCAUGCCGCGUGUGUGAAGAAGGCCUUCGGGUUGUAAAGCACUUUCAGUCGUGAGGAAGGUAGUGUAGUUAAUAGCUGCAUUAUUUGACGUUAGCGACAGAAGAAGCACCGGCUAACUCCGUGCCAGCAGCCGCGGUAAUACGGAGGGUGCGAGCGUUAAUCGGAAUUACUGGGCGUAAAGCGCAUGCAGGUGGUUUGUUAAGUCAGAUGUGAAAGCCCGGGGCUCAACCUCGGAAUUGCAUUUGAAACUGGCAGACUAGAGUACUGUAGAGGGGGGUAGAAUUUCAGGUGUAGCGGUGAAAUGCGUAGAGAUCUGAAGGAAUACCGGUGGCGAAGGCGGCCCCCUGGACAGAUACUGACACUCAGAUGCGAAAGCGUGGGGAGCAAACAGGAUUAGAUACCCUGGUAGUCCACGCCGUAAACGAUGUCUACUUGGAGGUUGUGGCCUUGAGCCGUGGCUUUCGGAGCUAACGCGUUAAGUAGACCGCCUGGGGAGUACGGUCGCAAGAUUAAAACUCAAAUGAAUUGACGGGGGCCCGCACAAGCGGUGGAGCAUGUGGUUUAAUUCGAUGCAACGCGAAGAACCUUACCUACUCUUGACAUCCAGAGAACUUUCCAGAGAUGAAUUGGUGCCUUCGGGAACUCUGAGACAGGUGCUGCAUGGCUGUCGUCAGCUCGUGUUGUGAAAUGUUGGGUUAAGUCCCGCAACGAGCGCAACCCUUAUCCUUGUUUGCCAGCGAGUAAUGUCGGGAACUCCAGGGAGACUGCCGGUGAUAAACCGGAGGAA